GGCCCAGAUCGUUUACCGUGAAAAAAUUAGAGUGUUCAAAGCAGGCAGAUCCAAUUUUCUGCCACCGAAUACAUUAGCAUGGGAUAAUGGAAUAGGACCCUGUCCUCCUAUUUUCAGUUGGUUUUGGCAGCGCGAGGACUAGGGUAAUGAUUAAUAGGGAUAGUUGGGGGCAUUAAUAUUUAAUUGUCAGAGGUGAAAUUCUUGGAUUUAUGAAAGAUUAACUUCUGCGAAAGCAUCUGCCAAGGAUGUUUUCAUUAAUCAAGAACGAAAGUUAGGGGAUCGAAGACGAUCAGAUACCGUCGUAGUCUUAACCAUAAACGAUGCCGACCAGCGAUUAGGAGACGUUGAAUACAAAACACCACCAUCGGCGCGGUCGUCCUUGGCGUCUGUCCCUUUCAACGGGGGCAGGCGCGAGGGCGGUUUAGCCCGGUGGCACCGGUGAAUGACUCCCCUAGCAGCUUGUGAGAA
rnacentral:rRNA from 1 species